GCUAAUGACCCGGAGUGCUGGGAGCCUGAAAACUAUUGUCAUCUCUCUCCCCGGACGGUGAGCCUGAUGCUCGGGGUCACUGACAGAAACUAAACAGCGGCCGGAAGCCCACGAGUCCCCGGCGAGUUCUUCUGAAACCCCGUCGCGACAAUCCGCGUGCCGGACUGAAAGGACUGGAAGUGGGCACGGUCCCUCCGCCCUCCCGGCCGCGCGUCCGCAACGUUCCAGGCUGUCAGGUGGGUGGCGACGAGCCUCGGCGGGGAAGCCCUGGCCGGCAGCGCCGCAGCCCGCGGAGCCGAGGGGGGUCAGCCCCGCCGAGCGCGCCGCGUCCCGAGGCCGGCCGGCGCUCACCUUUGUUCGCCGGCGCUCGCGGCGGGGAGAGAGCCGGCCCAGGAGGAGUGCGGACGGCGACCCCAACGCUCCGCGGCCCCUCCCAGGCGCCCCGGAGGAAAUCCGUAGGCUAGCCAGAUCCUCCCAGGCUCCCCGAACGGCAGCCGGGCUGAGGGGUCGGCAACCCCCUCCCGAACACAAAGGACUACUGCUGUCCAGUAGGUUCUGCUGUGUCUCUAAGCAUAUGCAACAGGAAGUGCGGAAUUUCAUCCUGACUGCCAAACCUAUAGACCCAUGAAGACUUCAGACCCACCACCGAGGCAAGGCAAGCAGCCUUUCAUAGACUACUUCAUCAGCACCCACAAUUGUGAGAAAAGGUUUUGGAAGACCAUAAUUCCUCCAUGUCAAAUUUGAAAAUUUUGUUCCCAAAUUGACUCCUUGCUAGCUUGAGUAGCCAAAAUCUGGGUCACAUGAAGAAGAAAUGAGUAACACAGGUAAUGAUAAUGAUAAUGAUGAUGAUGAUAUCAAUGAUGGAAUAUGGAGGAAUCAAGAGAAGACUGGUUUAGAAACAAGCUUUAAACACGGUAAGGCUGAAAGAAAAUACUAUUAGAGGUUUGGAUUGGUUGUUUUUCCCAAGGAAAGAAAACUCUAGUAAUGAAGUCUGAUAAAUACUGAAAAAUAAAGAAAGGAGAAGCAAGAGGUUAUUAUGAUGGGUCUGGCGAAUGAAGGGAUCAUGGCAGUGCAACAUGAAGGGGAGCAGAUGUGAGA